AUUGAGAACCACUGCCCUAAAGGCACCGGAUCCAGUCCAAUCUUGGAAGCAAUAAGCAAGAUCAGUCUGAGUUAGUACAUGGAUGAGAGACUUCCAGUGAAUACCGGGUGCUGUAAUUC
rnacentral:rRNA from 11 species